rnacentral:lncRNA from 1 species
AUGUUUUUGCUAGCCCUAGCAACGGAGGGUCAGGAGUGCAUCACUGAGUGCAUUGUUUACACACGCGACCAGCUGAUUGCGCUGUGUGAACCUGCACUGCUGCCCGGAGCCAGACCUGAGGUCCUGAAGGAGCUGCGGAGGAGACGCCGUGGCUGCAGAGCCGGAGUGAAACGGAGGGUGAAGAGGAGGAGACACAGACCGGCUGUACCGGCGAUCGUCAUGGGAAACGUGAGGUCUCUGGGGAACAAGACGGACGAGCUCGCCGCGCUGAUAAAGGCUCAGAGGGAAUAUCGUGAGUGCAGUGUGUUGUGUUUCACGGAGACAUGGCUUCACUCACACAUCCCGGACCACAGCGUGGCCAUUCCCGGCUUCAGCACUGUUCGGGCGGACAGGGACGUGAUAAGCAGCGUAAAGAAGAAAGGAGGAGGGAUUGCACUGUAUGUGAGUGAGAGGUGGUGUAAUCCCGGACGUGUUCACGUGAAGAAACGUCUCUGUACCCCGGACAUUGAACUGUUGACUGUGGGGAUGAGGCCUUAUUAUUUGCCCUGGGAGUUCACGUCCGCCGUCAUUAUCGGUGUGUACGUUCCUCCUUCAGCUGAUGCAGCGCUGGCCUGUGACGUCAUCCACUCCGCUGUUGCCCAGAUACAGACGCAGCAUCCUAAUGCAUUUAUUGUCAUCACUGGAGAUUUUAAUCAUGUCUCACUGGACAAAACCCUUCCAACAUUUCACCAGUAUGUUGACUGCCCCACCAGAGACUGUAACACACUGGAUCUGUUGUAUGCAAAUGCUAAGGAUGCAUACAGUCCCACAGCCCUCCCCCCUCUUGGAAGAUCUGACCACAACCUGGUUCUGCUGACCCCUAAGUAUAUCCCCCUUGUUCAGCGGCAGCCUGUCCACACUAGGAGCGUGAGGAGGUGGACUCAGGAGGCUGCUGACGCACUACAGGACUGCUUUGAGUCGACAGACUGGGAUGCACUUGUUGAGCCACAUGGAGAGGAUCUGGACAGCAUGACCGACUGCAUCACAGAAUACAUCAGGUUCUGUGAACACACCACCAUGCCAACCCGGACUGUACGUUGCUUCCCUAAUAAUAAGCCGUGGAUCACCAAUGACCUGAAAGCCCUUCUUAACAAGAAGAAGAGGGCGUUCAGGUCUGGAGACAGGGAAGAACUGAGGAGAGUGCAGCAUGAACUCAGGGAUAUGCUGAGGACCUGUAAAGACGCCUACAGGAGGAAGCUGGAGGCCAAACUCCAGCAGAACAAUGUGAGGGAUGUGUGGACUGGUAUGAAGCAGAUCACUGGGUGUAAGGUGAGCGGCAGACAGUCAUCGGGCAGCCUGGAGAGGGCAAACGAGCUGAACAGAUUCUUCAAUAGGUUCAGCUCACAGCCUUCUGUCGUCUCCAUGACACCUCCAGACCCCCACACACCCUCACUGCCCCAAAUGCUUCCUCCCCUCCUCCCUCACUCCCCUGCUGUGAGCUCUCCUGUGCAGCACCUCUCCUCCUCCUCCUCCUCCUCCUCCUCCUCCUCCUCCUCCUCCUCCACCUCUUCCUUCUCCACCUCCUCCUCCUCCUCCACCUCCUCGUCCUCCACUGAAGACACCAGCAGCCUCCCCUGCAUGACUGUGACUGCAGGCCAGGUUAGGAGACAGCUGGAGAGACUCCACCAGCAGAAGGCUGCAGGCCCUGACGGUAUCAGCCCCAGGAUCCUGAAGACAUGUGCCAGCCAGCUGUCUCCUGUCCUACAACACCUCUACAACCUGAGCCUGGGUCAGGAGAGAAUACAGGUGCUUUGGAAGACUUCCUGCCUGGUUCCUGUUCCAAAGAAGUCGACACCAUCAGACCUCAAUGACUAUCGACCAGUGGCCCUCACAUCUUACGUCAUGAAGGUGCUGGAGAGACUGGUUUUGGCCAACCUGAGGCCGCAGAUGAGAGCCCUGCUAGACCCUCUGCAAUUUGCUUACCAGCCCCACUUGGUAGUUGAUGACGCUGUCAUCUACCUGCUGCAACGAGCCCAUUCGCACCUGGAUGGUGGAGGAGGCACUGUGAGAAUCACAUUCUUUGAUUUCUCUAGUGCUUUUAACACCAUUCAGCCACUGCUACUGGGGGAGAAGCUGCGGGUGAUGGGUGUAGACGACACAAUGAUCUCCUGGAUUACUGACUACCUGACAGGCAGGCCACAGUUUGUCCGUAUGGGCAGUGUUCUGUCUGAUGCGGUGGUUAGUGAUGCAGGAGCUCCACAGGGGACUGUACUGUCACCUUUCCUGUUCACCUUAUACACCACUGACUUUCAGUACAACACCGGGUCGUGUCACCUGCAAAAGUUUUCUGACGACUUGGCUGUUGUUGGGUGUAUAAGUGAGGGACAGGAGGAGGAGUACAGGGCACUGGUAGACAACUUUGUGGAGUGGACUGGACAGAAUCACCUGCGGCUGAACAUCAGCAAGACCAGAGAGAUGGUGAUAGAUUUCAGGAAGAAGAGGAAGACGGCUUUCCAACCUCUGUGCAUUCUGGGAAAGGAUGUGGAGGCGGUGGAGGAUUACAAGUACCUGGGUGUUACCAUCAACUACAGACUGGACUGGAGAUCUAACACUGAAGCUGUUUACAAGAAGGGGAUGAGCAGACUUUACUUCCUGAGGAAGCUGAGAUCCUUCAACGUGUGCAGCAAGAUGUUGGAGAUCUUUUAUCAGUCUGUGGUGGCCAGUGUACUUUUCUUUGCUGUGGUUUGUUGGGGAAGCAGCAUUGGAGCCAGCGACACCAACAGACUCAACAAACUGAUCAGGAAGGCUGGCUCUGUGAUUGGCUGCAAACAGGACACUCUGGAGGCUGUGGUGGAGAGGAGGACACUGAAAAAACUGUUAUCCAUCAUGGAUAAUCCUCUCCACCCUCUCCAACUCACACUGGUCAGACAGCGGAGCACUUUCUCCGGAAGGCUGCUUCAGCUUCGCUGUCGAAGCAACAGAUACAGGAAAUCUUUCCUGCCACAAUCCAUCACUUUAUACAACAACUCUCUCACCUCUGCCUGA